rnacentral:rRNA from 1 species
UACGUAGGGCGCAAGCGUUAUCCGGAAUUACUGGGCGUAAAGCGUGCGUAGGUGGUUCGUUAAGUCUGAUGUGAAAGCCCUGGGCUCAACCUGGGAAUGGCAUUGGAAACUGGCGAUCUGAGAGUGCGGUAGAGGGUAGUGGAAUUCCCGGUGUAGUGGUGAAAUGCGUAGAUAUCGGGAGGAACACCAGUGGCGAAGGCGGCUUCCUGGCCUGUUCGUUGACG